GACGAGCCGUGCGAACGUUAUUCGGAAUCACUGGGCUUAAAGGGCGCGUAGGCGGGCCGCCCGGUCCUGGGUGAAAUCCUCCAGCUCAACUGGAGAAGUGCCUUGGAUACCGGCGGCCUCGAGGGAGGCAGGGGCGUGCGGAACUUCGGGUGGAGCGGUGAAAUGCGUAGAUAUCCGAAGGAACACCGGUGGCGAAAGCGGCGCGCUGGACCUCUUCUGACGCUGAGGCGCGAAAGCCAGGGGAGCAAACGGG
rnacentral:rRNA from 1 species